UACGUAGGGUGCAAGCGUUAUCCGGAAUUAUUGGGCGUAAAGGGCUCGUAGGCGGUUUGUCGCGUCUGCUGUGAAAACCCGAGGCUCAACCUCGGGCCUGCAGUGGGUACGGGCAGACUAGAGUGCGGUAGGGGGGAUUGGAAUUCCUGGUGUAGCGGUGGAAUGCGCAGAUAUCAGGAGGAACACCGAUGGCGAAGGCAGAUCUCUGGGCCGUAACUGACGCUGAGGAGCGAAAGCGUGGGGAGCGAACAGG
rnacentral:rRNA from 1 species